GAAUUGCCUUACCGGAUCAGAUGAGUGAUCCAUCUAGCCCAUUAUCCUGUCUCUCUCAGUGGCCAGAAACAGGUCCUUAAAAGGAAGUUACGAGAAUCCCCUAAGUGGAGAAUUAUGGCACAACAGAGCUUGUACAAUGAGCAAGGCCAUUUCCUGCCAACAUUCAGAUGGAAGACCAUCCCGUAAGAUGUAAGUGUUGCAGGAGCUAGUGUUGGCGAGCUGAUAGGCAGCACUCCUCCCCAAGUCAGUUCUGAACCAAUGAUCCAGCAUCACAUGAAGGGGCACUUCGCAUCUCUCAGAUGAAGUCCAACCUAAGGCUCUCUACACAGCCAUGGAAAACAAAUCACUAGCCAACAUAAACAGUCUGAAUAGCAUCUGGAAACCAAACCCACUGAAUUUCUCACAUGUUUUCACUUUCUAAUCACAAUUUUUUCAAAAUUUUAAAUGACAAAUGUGUACCAUAAAAUGUUCUUACAGAUCCAUCUAAA